GCUUGUCUCAAAGAUUAAGCCAUGCAUGUCUAAGUAUAAGCACCCUUAUACUGCGAAACUGCGUACAGCUCAUUAUAUCAGCAAUUAUUUAUUUGAAGGUCACCUAUUACAUGGAUAACCGUGGUAAUUCUAGAGCUAAUACAUGCUAAAAACCCCGACUUCAGGAAGGGGUGUAUUUAUUAGAUAAAAAACCAACGCCCUUCGGGGCUCCUUGGUGAAUCAUAAUAACUUAACGAAUCGCAUGGCCUUGCGCCGGCGAUGGUUCAUUCAAAUUUCUGCCCUAUCAACUUUCGAUGGUAGGAUAGUGGCCUACCAUGGUGGCAACGGGUAACGGGGAAUUAGGGUUCGAUUCCGGAGAGGGAGCCUGAGAAACGGCUACCACAUCCAAGGAAGGCAGCAGG
rnacentral:rRNA from 1 species